AUGAACUCCGCGAACACACAGGGAGCAAGCAAGCAGAGCUUUUACUACAGGAAAGCAGAUGGCUCCCAGGUUGCUGGGAGCGGGGAGAAGACCCCCUUUCUCUACUGUCCUGUAGGGUUUUUAUUCCUCUUAGUUGGCGGGGGUGGGCGUGGGGGGGCACCACCGUGGGAUCCGGAGAGCCGUGGUCUUCUCCCCUUGACCUUGUUCAAUUACCCUUAUCGGCCCUUGUCCACUAGGGCCCUGGGGCUGGAAACGUCCUCUCCGUCUCAUUUUUCUUCGUCCUUUUUGUCCGUAGACGGAGUCACGGGGCUUAGGGAUGAAUGUCCAUCUGGGAGCAGGUGCACUCCCUACCCUCAACAAGGCCUGUGGGGAUGCUCGUCCCCGGAGCCCUUAAGCCACAGGCGUUCAUCCGUGGCCACAUCGAAGAAGGUACGGAAGCCCCUGCUCCUGCACCGACGGCCUGGCUCCCGGCAACGCCGGAUCCUUAACCCACGGAGCGAGGCCAGAGAUGGAACCUGCAACCUCACGGUUCCUAGUCGGAUCCAUUUCCGCUGUGCCACGACGGGAGCUCCCUUUGUGUGCGUUUUGAGUGCCUCAAAGCCAUGUGGUCGGAAGGCCAGUUGUACAACGGGCCUCAGCCUCUGGGGCCUGUUCACGGCUGGGAGUCCAGCUGCCCCCUCUCACAGGCAAGACGACCAGGCUGAAGCUUUCCCACACCCUCGACUCUGUCGCCCAGAAGAACGGGGACAGGGGCCCCGCACGCGGUGCUGGACGGAUGCGGGGAACGUGCUGGCGAUCCCGGAUGUCAGGGCCACACAGGCAGCCUGUGGACGUUCCCAGGCUAAGGGUCAAAUCGGAGCUACAGCUGAGGCCUACACCCCAGCCACGGCAACACCGCAUCCGAGCCGCUUCUGCAAACCACGCCAGAUUCUGCAAACCACACAGCUCUGCAGCCACCUCAGAUUCUCCACCCGCCGAGUGAGGCCAGGAAUCGAAACCUGAAUCCGCAUGGAGACUACGUUGGGGCCUUAACCUGCUGAGCCACAGCGGGGACUCCCAUAGCUUCUAGUUCACCUGCUUCCAUGGUGUCGAGGCAAUUAAGUCUUCUCUUUCUUCUGACGUCAGUUUGCUGUAUCUUUUUCUACGAAAUUGUUCAUUUCAAAUACAGUUUCAAAUUACUUAGCCUAAGGUUGUUCACUGCAUUCUCUUAUUUUUAAAAAAAUGUUGGGGAGUUCCCGUCAUGGCUCAGGGGUUCACGAAUCCCACUAGGAACCAUGAGGCUGCGGGUUCGACCCCUGGCCUCGCUCUGUGGGUUAAGGAUCCGGCGUGGCCGUGAGCUGUGGUGUGGGUCACAGACGUGGCUCGGGUCCCCUGUGGCUGUGGCUCUGGUGCAGGCUGGUGGCUACGGCUCCGAUUCGACCCCUCGCCUGGGAACCUCCACGUGCCGCGGGAGCGGCCCAAGGAAAGGCACAAAGACAAAAACAAAAACGCUUUUUUUGAGGGCCUUUGUGUUGGCCUCUGUUCACCACUGAUACUGUAGAUGUAUCUUCAUCUUUCAGAUUUCUGAGCAUUUCUGGCGCAUCUCUGUCUUCAGUUUCACUCACUUCUAAAAACUCGCAAACUCGUGUUCCCUUCGACUCUGAGGGAGGGACUCUGCUCUCCUCUCUCACGUCUUUUGCAUCCGGCCGCCUCCUCCCUGCUUUCAGCCUCUCUUCCAGUUCAGACUCUCGCUUUUCCCACAAGCGCGGCUCCAGCAGCAAUGGCUCCUCAAGCCCUG
ensembl:lncRNA